rnacentral:sRNA from 1 species
AAGUAAGGAAGUUAGCCUAAGACCGUCGCAUCCUUGCGACAACAGCUAACCGAGCUGUAUCACGCAGG